UCAUUUAGUUUUUAUUCAGACAUAUACAUCAAGUAAAAGAAAGAUAACAAUACAUUUGGUUGAAACCCAAAAUGAUAAAGCAAUGUUUUACAGGUAAAUUGACCAGGUAUUACCUUUUUAUCAUACACCCAGGUAAUAUUAACAUGUAAAUCCCCAGGUAUACACUUUCUAUCAAAACCCAUGUAAUGUUUUACAGGUAAGUUCCCCAGGUUUUCACUUGCUUCCAGAAACCCAGGUAAAGUUUUACAGGUAAAUUUCCCAGGUAUACACUUGCUACAUUAAACCCAGAUAAACAGCACUUGUAAUGUGAAACUGAGGAUUUCAGUAAACCCAAAUAAACAAAGACAUACAGUUUAACCCGUUAUACAGUCUUAACGCUGGUUCUGAAAUAUGGUACAGAACCUACACCAUUUAAUAUUCUUGGUUUAAAGUGACUUUCUUCAUUUCAACUAAAAUCUUUGUUCCAGAUAUAGUGAUAUACAGUGGAACUUCGUUAACUCGAACUCGGAAAACUCGAAUACCCCGCCUAACUCGAAAAAAUGUAGAUUGAUUUUGACAAUCUGAAUUGUCAUAUGACACUGACACUCCUGUGUCAGGUGGUCUUUAUGUGACAAUAUGACACAGAUACUUGUGUGUCAGGUGGUCUUUAUGUGACAAUAUGACACAGAUACUUGUUUGUCAGGUCGUCUCCAUGUGACAAUAUGACACAGAUACUUGUUUGUCAGGUCGUCUCCAUGUGACAAUAUGACACAGAUACUUGUGUGUCAGGUGGUCUUUAUGUGACAGUAUGACACAGACACUUGUGUGUCAGGUGGUCUCCAUGUGACAACAUGACAGACACUUGUGUGUAAGGUCGUCUCCACGUGACAACAUGACAGACACUUGUGUGUCAGGUGGUCUCCAUGUGACAACAUGACAGACACUUGUGUGUCAGGUCGUCUCCACGUGACAACAUGACAGACACUUGUGUGUUGUGUGUUAAGUUGUCUCCAUGUGACACCAACAUGACACAGACACUCGUGUGUCAGGUGGUCUCCAUGUGACAGUAUGACACAGACACUCGUGUGUCAGGUCGUCUCCACGUGACAACAUGACAGACACUUGUGUGUUAAGUUGUCUCCAUGUGAUACCAACACGACACAGACACUCGUGUGUCAGGUCGUCUCCAUGUGACAAUAUGACACAGACACUCAUGUGUCAGGUGGUCUCCAUGUGACAGUAUGACACAGACACUCGUGUGUCAGGUCGUCUCCACGUGACAACAUGACAGACACUUGUGUGUUAAGUUGUCUCCAUGUGACACCAACACGACACAGACACUUGUGUGUCAGGUCGUCUCCAUGGGACAACAAUAUGACAGACACUCAUGUGUCAGGUGGUCUCCAUGUGACAACAUGACAGACACUUGUGUGUAAGGUCGUCUCCAUGGGACAACAGUAUGACAGACACUCAUGUGUCAGGUCGUCUCCAUGGGACAACAAUAUGACAAGACACUUGUUUCAGGUUGUCUCUAUGUGACAACAAAAAAACAGACACUCGUGUGACCAGUCUUAUCCAUAUGACAACAACAUGACACAGACACUUAUUUAUCAGUUCAUGUUUACAUUCUCAGGACAGAAUAGUUCAUAAUAGUACAAGAUAAUCUGUUUGGAGGGAAAAUCUAUUGAUAUUUAUCAUCUCUGUGUAGUUUAAAAUAUCAUUUGACAUUACCAGAAAUGGAGAAAUGUCACUUUAAAACAAAGAUUUGUACAACAUAAGAAAUGGUGUAUUUGCAUUUCAUAUUGUUCAGCCAACAUUCAUUUUGACAAAGUUAAAACUAUCACCUCAUCAUUUUUCAACGAUAAAAAAUUCGAAAUAUUUUAAUAUACAAAUAUGCUUCUUACACACAAUAUACUGUUAUGGGAAGAAUGCGGUGAGUUUAUUGUAAUUCUGGGUGUAUUAACACAACAGUCCUUUUUAUACUAGCAGCCUUCUAAUUCCCUAAAUAAAUGUACUUAUAUCAAAACCGGGGUAUAUUGAGAACAAACAUAAUUCUUACAAAAAAUUAUUGUUUGUUUUUGUAACAUUUGAACACAUGUACAUGAAUCAAUAUAUUCAUUUAAAACUUCUUAAUCCAAUUUGUUUUUUAGAGAGAGGAAAAAAAUAAUUUCAAAAUUGUAUAUAUCUAUAUACUAUGUAUGGUAAAUAGUAUUGCAUGAGACACUGAUCUAAGACCAACACUUUGGAAGAGCUAUAUAAAUGUACGUUUGUUAUGUAAAAUGUAAAAUUUAACUUUAAUUCCUUAAAACUGGUACAUGUAAUGACCAGAUAAACAUACCAUUAAUUCAUCUACAAAGUAAAAUCUUCCAUUUUAUUCCUUGUGGAUUCACUAUAAUGGCACAGGGAAAUGGAUUGCAUCCUGGGAAGGGUGCGCCAGAAUAACAACAUUACAACAUCUUAUAACAGGAAUGAGGAUUACACAAUAAUACUUCUAUUUCACCGUCAAAUAUCUUCUAAGACAAAAAUAUCAAUUAAAUUGUCUUCUAAGUCAAAAAUAUCAAUUAGUUUGUCUUCUUAAACAAAACUAUUAAUUAAAGUCUUCUAAGACAAAACUAUUAAUUACUUUGUCUUCUAAGACAAAACUAUUAAUUAAUUUGUCUUCUAAGACAAAACUAUUAAUCAAUUUGUCUUCUAUGACAAAACUAUUAAUUAAAUUGUCUUCUAGGACAAAAUCCUCAGAUACAGUGACAUAAAAGCAUUAUUCUGGUAACAUUGAUUGUGUAUGAUUGGUCCCACAGUCAAACUUAACAGAUCAACACCAACCUGGGACAGUAGUACAAGGCCAGGCAUGCCUAAUGAUAGCAUACACAUUAUAUUAUGUUCAUGUU